rnacentral:rRNA from 1 species
GAUGAACGCUGGCGGCGUGCCUAAUACAUGCAAGUCGAACGGACGGACGAUAAGCUUGCUGCUCUCUUGUUAGCGGCGGACGGGUGUGUAACACGUGGAUACCGCACCUAUAUGACUGGUAUAACUUCGGGAAACGGGCUCUAAUACCGGAUAAUCUUUUGAUCCGCAUUGUUCAAUAGUGAGAGACGGUGGUUCGGGAUGUUCUCGAGGCUUCCGCGCUUCAUUAGCUAGUUGGUAAGGUAACGGGUUAUCAAGGCGAGGAUGCAUGGCCGACCGGACGGAGGGAUCGCCGGCACUGGAGCUGAGACACGGUCCAGAGGCCUACGGGAGGGAGCAGUAGGGAAUGUUCCGCAAUGGGCGGAAGCCUUACGGAGCAACGCGGCGUGUGAUGUAAAGGUGCUCGGAUCGUAAUAAUCGGUUAUUAGGUGUGAACCUAUGUGGAAUUAACUGUGGCCAUAGUGACGGUAACGAAUCAGAAAGCCCCGGCUAACUACGUG